AACUUUCAACAACGGAUCUCUUGGUUCUGGCAUCGAUGAAGAACGCAGCGAAAUGCGAUAAGUAAUGUGAAUUGCAGAAUUCAGUGAAUCAUCGAAUCUUUGAACGCACAUUGCGCCCCUUGGUAUUCCGGGGGGCAUGCCUGUUCGAGCGUCAUUACAACCCUCAAGCUCUG
rnacentral:rRNA from 1 species